rnacentral:rRNA from 1 species
AGUGAACGCUGGCGGCGUGCCUAAUACAUGCAAGUCGAACGGAGUGGGCACGGGUGAGUAACACGUGGGUAACCUCCCAUCAGAGGGGAUAACACUUGGAAACAGGUGCUAAACCGAUACUGAUGGAUGGACCCGCGGUGCAUUAGCUAGUUGGGGAGGUAACGGCUCACCAAGGCCACGAUGCAUAGCCGACCGUAGAGGGGGAGCGACCAGACUGUGGCUGAGACACUGCCCCGACUCCUACGCGAGGCAGCAUUAGGACAUCGUCGGCAAUGGACGAAAGUCUGACCCAGCAACGGCGCGUGAGUGAAGAAGCUUUUCGGAUCGUAAAACUCUGUUGUGAGAUAAGCGGUAUCUAAGCGGAAAGCCACGGCUAACUACGUGCCAGCAGCCGCGGUAAUUC